GACGAACACUGGCGGCGUGCUUAACACAUGCAAGUCGAACGAGUUGCGAACGGGUGAGUAAUACGUGAGUAACCUGCCCUCUUUUUGGGAUAAUCAUUGGAAACGGGGUCUAAUACCGGAUAACAGGGGCUGGGCUCGCGUCUUAUCAGCUUGGUGGGGGGGUGAUGGACUACCAAGGCGGUGACGGGUAGCCGGCAUGAGCGGGUGAACGGACAGAUUGGGGAUGAGUGACGUCCCAGAGUCAUACGGGAGGCAGCCGGGGGGGAUAUUGGAGAAUGGGCGAAAGGCUGAUGCAGCGACGCCGCGGGGGGGAUGAAGGCUUUCGGGUUGUAAACAUCUUUCGAUAUAGAACGGGUAGGUGGAGAAGAAGCGCCGGCUAACUACGUGCCAGCCGCCGCGGUAAUUC
rnacentral:rRNA from 1 species